AAAUGUGAAACGUAUUGUGUUAGAGUGUGUGUUAGUGUAUGUGUGUGUUUGCUUUCAGAGGAAAAGUAACAUGUAAAUUGUGCAGUGUUUCCUGGAGAGUUUCAGUUCAGUGUGUGUGUGUAUGUGUGUGUGUGAGAGAGAGAGAGAGAGAGAGACAGAGAGAGUGAGACAGGAGUUCGGCUGUGCAGAAAAUGCUGACUAGUCUCUUUUCAGCUGUUUACCCAAAUAUAUUUGCAAAUGAAAAUCAGUUGCCAUAAAAUACCACACACACACACACACACACACACACACACACACACACACACACACACACACACACACACACACACACACACACACACACACACACGGCACUGACAGUAUAACAUCUGUCCUCUUCUUGCCGUGAAGUAUAAACAUAAAGUAAGCACACAAUGCUUUAUUGUUAGAUUAGAGGAAAAUCAGGAAAGAAACGUGCAGUGUUUACAGUUACUGUAUAUACAAAAGAUAAGUAGUUACGUGUGGAAUGUUAUAUAACAUCAUUUAUAGCAUGAAGCGCAACACACUUGUAUAAAUAUAUAUAUUUAUAUUUGAUUAGCAUUAGGAUGAAGUGCAGAUAUAUUUAAUAAUAAUAAUUAUUAUUAUUAUUUCUUAUAUCUAUAUAGUGCUUUUCUAGACACUCGAAGCACUUUACAUAGUAUUUGGGGGGGAGGGGUUGGGGGUCUCCUCAACCAGCACUAGUGUGUAUCCUCCACCUGGAUGAUGUGAUGGCAGACAUAGUGCUCCAGAACUCCCACCACACACCAGCUACUGUGGAGAUGAGAGAGAUGGAGAUUAUUAGGGGGUGAUAGAGAAGGGUCAAUGGGAGGAUUUGGGCAGGACCCCAGGGUUACACCCCUACUCUUUACCAUAAGUGUCCUGCGAUUUUUAAUGACCACAGAGAGUCAGGACCUCGAUUUAACGUCUCAUCUGAAAGACGCUCCUGUUUUUACAGUAUAGUGUCCACAUCACUAUUCUGGGGCAUUAGAUCCACACAGACCACAGGGUGAGCGCCCCCUGCUGGCCUCACUAAUACCACUUCCAGCAGCAGCCUUAGUUUCCCCAAGAGGUCUCCCAUCCAGGUAAUGACCACACUCAACCCUGCUUAUCUUCAGUGGGACACCGGGCGAGAGCUCCAGGGAGAUACGGCUCUGGCCAUAUUUAAAUAUUUAAAAUAAUUUUAAUCAACAUUACAUUUGUAUUGGUAUAAAAUGUGAACAGACAGACAUAACAUUUCUAAUUAUGUUUUUGUUUAUUAUUAUUUCAGUGUUUUUCCCUUCAAGUGUGUGAAGAUGAACGGGACGUUUAGGAGAUGUGUCUCUCUGAUUAUACUGAUGAUCUUUUGGAAGAGUACAUGCAACUCAGGUUCAGGUUCUCCUCCUCUGAUAGAUGCAGUGAAUGUGAUUUUAAAGUCAAACAGAUACAGAAAUGUGUUUAUCAUCACUCUGUUUGUUUUUUUUGUGUAUUAGUGUGUGUCAUUGUCUGUUGGGUUGUGCUGGUGUGUGUAUGUGUUAGAGACAAUGUGCGUUAUUGUGUGUUUGUGCUUGUGUUUGUUAGUGUGUCUUGGUGGGUGUUGUUGUGAGUUAGUGUGUGUUGGUAUGUUUUAGUGUGCGUUUGCUUGUGUGCGUGUGUGUUACUGCGUGUUGUUUUGUGUCUGUGUGUUAUUGUGUAUCCUCGAGAUAAGCAGUGUUUCAGAUUAAGAUGCGUCUCCUCUCACGUCCUCCCUGGACUUUAAAGGGACAACAUUAUUAUAACCCUGAUUCCAAAAAAGUUUUGACACCAUGUAAAAUGUAAAUAAAAACAGAAUGCAAUGAUUUGCAAAUCUCAUAAACCCACAUUUUAUUCACAAUACAACAUAGAACAUCGAACUGUGUUCCCAGACAGUGGGUUCUGGAGGUGUUUCGGAGCCCAUGCAGUCAUUUCCAUUACAGAUUCAGGCCUUUUUUAAUGCAGUGCCGCCUGAGGGCCCGAAGAUCACGGGCGUGCAGUAUUGAUUCUCACCUCGUCCUUUAUGCAGAUUUCUCCAGAUUCUCAGAAUGUUUUGAUGAUAUUUUGUUCUGUAGAUGAUGAGAGAUUCAUUCAGUCCAUUGAGGAACAUUAUUCUGAAAUUGAAGACACAGUUUUUCGCAGAUUGGUGAACCUCUGCUCAUCUUUACUUCUGAAAGACUCCGCCUCUCUAAGAUCCUCUUUUUAUACCCAAUCACAUUACUGCUCUGUUCCCAAUUCACCACCAGCUGUUUCUUUUUACUAACACUUACUUUUCCAGCCUUUUGUUGCCCCGUCCCAACUUUUUUGAGACGUGUUGCCGCCAUUAAAUUUCCUUAAAAUGGAACAUUUCCUCAAUUUAAACAUUUGAUAUGUUUUCUAUACUUUCUAUACUAUAAAAGUUUUAUACUGUAAAAAAUAUCGUUUUUUGCACUUUCCCUUUCCACUUGGUGCGUGCUCUUUUCCUCUAUCAGCGGUAUUCAAAAUCCACUGGUUAUACUGUUUAUCAGUAAUCCAGCGUACUGAAUUCUAAAUGUAGAUAUUAAAUCAGUCUAUAUGUGUUUAUUAUCUUGUAGAUCCAAAAAACUGGCAGAAGUGGUGUGAGGAUAAUGACAUCCAGAAGAAAUGCAAGGACACAUGUAAAA